AUGUGUAGAGAUAGGAUUAGGAAUGCUGAGGCACAGAUGGAGCUGAACUUGGUGAGGGAUGUGAAAGAUAACAAGAAGGAGAGUGUUCCCCCUCUGAUAAAAGGUGAUGGAGAGCUGGCUUCCUCAGACAUACAAAAAGCUGAGGUACUCAACGAGAGCUUUGCUUCAGUCUACACCGGUGCUCAGGCUUCCCUUGUCUGCCAGGACCCUGAACCUCUAAGUGAUGGUGUGGGGAGCAGAUUUGGUCCCACUGAAACAAUGGAACAAGUCCAAGACCUCCUCAUGCAACUGAAUGUAUACAAGUCCAUGGGGCCGCAUGAUAUCCAUAGAAGCUAUGUUAAGGCACAUAUGAGACAAAGAGGUGAUCCAAGGGAGCCAGCAGGGCUUCACCAAGGGAAGAUCUUGCCUACCAAUCCAGAGGCCUUGUGUGAUGGAGUGACGGCAUCGGUGGAUGGGGGAAGGGUAACAGAUGUCAUCUACCUGGACUUCUGAAAAGCCUUUGACAUGGUCCCUCACCACAUCCUUCUCUCUAAAUUGGAGAGGUAUGGAUUUGAAGGAUGGACUGCUCACAGGUGGAUUAAGAAUUGGUUGGCUGGUUGCAGUCAAAGGGUUGUGAUCAAUGGUUCUGCGUCAGGGUGGAGGCCGGUCACAAGCGGUGUCCCUCAGGGGUCGGUCUUGGGACCAGUGCACUUCAACAUCUUUAUCAAUGACAUAGACGAUGGAAUCCAGUGCACCCACAGCAAGUUUGCACACGAUACCAGGCUGAGCGGUGUGGUCGAUACAGUAGGGGGAAGGGAAGCCAUGCAGAGGGACCUGGAAAGGAUGGAGAAGUGGGCCCACAAGAACCUAAUGAGGUUCAUCAAGGCCAAAUGCAAGGUGCUGCAAGAUGAUCAGAGAGCUGGAGCACCUCUCCUAUGAAGAAAGGUUGAGGGAACUGGGCUUAUACAGCUUGGAGAAGAGAAGGCUCCAGGGAAACCUCAUUGUGGCCUUCCAAUACUUGAAGGGAGCGUAUAAACAGGCAGGGGAACGAUUGUGUACGAGGACGGAGAGCGAUAGGACAAGGGGGAAUAGUUUUAAACUAAGACGGGGGAGGCUUAGGUUAGAUAUUAGGAGGAAGUUUUUCACUGACAGGGUGGUGAUGCACUGGAACGGGUCGCCCAGAGAGGCUGUGGAUGCCCUGUCCCUGGAAGCAUUCAAGGCCAGGCUGGAAGUGGCUCUGCGCAGCCCGGUCUGGUGGCUGGUGACCCUGCGCACAGCAGGGGGGUUGAAACUCAAUGAUCUUGGAGGUCCUUUUCAACCCACACCAUUCUAUGAUUCUAUGAUCCUACAAUUCUGUACGGUCAUGUUUAUUCCAACUGGUCUUUAAGGAUAUCUGGAAGUCUUUUCCAUAAAUACCA
rnacentral:lncRNA from 1 species